rnacentral:rRNA from 1 species
UACGAAGGGAGCUAGCGUUGUUCGGAAUCACUGGGCGUAAAGCGCACGUAGGCGGAUUUGCCAGUCAAGGGUGAAAUCCCGGGGCUCAACCUCGGAACUGCCUUUGAUACAGCAAGUCUUGAGUUCGAGAGAGGUGGGUGGAAUUCCUAGUGUAGAGGUGAAAUUCGUAGAUAUUAGGAAGAACACCGGUGGCGAAGGCGGCCCACUGGCUCGACACUGACGCUGAGGUGCGAAAUCUAGGGGAGCAAACAGG